UGUCAAGGGAUGGGACUCAAACCCACGACCUUCCGCUUACCGGGCAGAUGCCAUGACCACUAGGCUACCCUGGAC
rnacentral:tRNA from 1 species